UCUUCGUCGCGCUCAAACAAU
rnacentral:piRNA from 1 species